rnacentral:lncRNA from 1 species
AAAGCUUGACCCACAAAAGCUUCAGCAACAAAAGCUUGACCUACAAAAGUUUGACCUACCAAAGAUUCACCCACAAAAGCUUGACCUACAAAAGCUUCACCCACAAAAACCUCACUUACAAAGUUUCAACACAAAAGCUUCACCUACAAAAGCUUCACACGAUCUUGAUCAAGAUAGUGUGAAACAAAAUCAAUUCAUGGUGUCCAACAAAGCUUCAACCUCAAAGCUUCACCUACAAAACUUCACCUAUAAAGCUUAAAAUAUAUAUAUAUCGGAAAUUUGAAAAUUUGAAAAUUCAAAAAUUUGAAAAAAAAAAAAUUCAAAAAAAAAAAAAUGUCUAGGCCUCCUCUUCUUUAGGCUUAACAACUUUCAUAACAAAUAUAUAUGAAGGAGGAGUUUUGGGCUACCACUUAGAAAGGAAUUGCCUCGUUAGGCAACUCCCUUGACCGGAGACUUGAGGGACUCCUACCAUAUGCUACUGCACCUUGAUACUCAUAAGUCUCACGACCACUCAGUGACUUGAAUUUUUCAAGUCUCCAACCGAAAAGUUUUCCUUACUCGGGAAAUUAAGCAAGCACUAUCUCAACAUACAUGCUUCACUCUCAAACCUUCAACAUAUAAGCUUUAACAAAAGAAAAAAUUCAAAGAACUUAAUGAAGAAGACCUUGGUGUAUUUAACACAAUACGUUGAAAUGAAGCAAAGCUUGUUUAUUGAUAUCUCCGAUAAGUUACAAAUAUGUACAUAUAUAUGAAUCAAAAUAAACAAACAAGAGAGAGCAUUCACAAAGGUUGCUCUUGAGAAGUCUCAGCAAUCGGCAGAGUCCCAGAAAGAGUAGGCACCAGAGGGUGAUCAUUCAGAGCCUCAGUAUUGGGUAGAACCCCAAAAAGAGGAGGCAUCGAAGGUUGAUCAUUUGAAGCUUCAUUACGCGGUACAGCCCCAAAAGACGAAGACAAUAAAUGCCUUUGGAACAAACCCACUAACCUCUGAUGAUCAAGUAAACUCUGACCAUCAGACUCCUGCAGCUGGUUAAGCUUCCUCUUCAUGUUUGUAGCAUAGUCAUGUGCAAGCCUGUGCAACUGUUUAUUCUUAUGCUUGAGCCUUCUGAUCUUCUGUUUGAGACUUAUCACUUUAGCCGCCAAUGAUUCAAUUUGUCUGGUUCGAGCAAAUAGGCGUUGGGCCAUAUUAGACACAUAACUUGCACACUGAACACUGAGAGCUAGAGAAUCCUUAACAACCAACUCAUCAGACCGUUUGGAAAGUAGUCUGUUAUCUUUAGGAGUGAGAAGGUUCUUGGCCACCACCGCAGCGUUCGUAUCAUUCUUCAUCAUAGAGUCCCUAACGGUAAGAUGACCAAUAUGGGAUAAGAAGGAUGGGCGCCAUAUGUUGUCUUGAGAAGGCAUGGCUGCCUCUUCACCAAAGUUCAAGUCAAAACGACGAUUGGAUAGGCCAGACAUUCUCAGAAAUGAUGAAGAGAAAUGAGGUGCAAUAAAUCUUUUAAGUACAAGAAUAAGGGGAAAAUUCCUACAAACAAUAACUCUCUGAAUGUACUUCUUGCACACAAUUGGUGCCCUUAUAAAAGAAAGGGUAACAGGGUCGUUAGUUCAAAAAUCGAAGAGGCACCACUCUUCGAAUUUUGAAUAGGCACCACUCUCCACACGCAACAUCAGUUCCUCGGGUACCACAGAUAACUUUGCAAAAGAUCUUUGACAAUGUUUAGACACAUAAAUUUUGAAGGUCCAGCUACCCUACUAUUACCCACAAAGGUAAAGGAACAACACCACUUUUUGAUAACUAGAAAGUUCCUAUGUAUGUCAACCUCCGUGCUCUGUGGCAAGGCAGACUGGCAAAAAUGCCCAACCUUUACUCACAUUCGAGAAAACACUCCUAACAAGAUUGCUUGCUCAAAAAUCGAAGAGGCACCGCUCUCCGAAUCUCGAGAGUCAGACUCCCAACAUAAUUACGUGCUCAAAAAUCGAAGAGGCACCACCCUCCGAAUCUUGAGAGCCAGACUUCCAACAGGAUUACUUUCUCAAAAAUCGAAGAGACAUUGCUUUUCGAAUCUCAAGAGUCAGACUCCCAACAUGAUUGCUUUCUCAAAAAUCGAAAUGACACCGUUUUCUGAAUCUCGAGAGCCAGAUCCCCGACAAGAUUGCUUGUUCGAAAACCGAAGAGGCAACGCUUUCCGAACUUCGAGAGCUAGAUUUCCUUGGAUAAAGCUUAUUUGCAAUUUUCACAUGCAAAUCAGCUUUCCAGAUACCACAGACCAUUUUUUCAAAGUGCUCUGACAAAGUUAAAACACGUGAAGUUUGCAGCUCCCACUACAUUGCUAUGACCAAGAAGGGUAAAGGAAUAGCACUACUACUUGUUAGGGAGACUCCUAUAUAUGUCGACCUCUAUCAUCCACAGCCAGGCAACCUACAAAUAAAAAAAAAUGCUCAACUUUUCUUUACAUCCGAAAGAGCACUCUCAGCAGAGUCUCUCGAGAUACUCAGCUUCUUUUGCCCCCGAUAAUACCUUUGCAAACAAGCCACACAAGAGCAAGAGUAUCACAUAUCAUUAGGGUUAAAAGCAAGAGUAUCCCAUAUCAUGCUUUUUCCCUGUCUUUUCCUUUGGCCUUGUUCUUACCUGCAAGACAAGGAGAAAGAGAACAAUUAGUCAGCACUUGGAAUCAAGCUUCCAAUCAGGAACUGAUUGCCUAGAACCCCUUGAUUGAUCACUUAUCUGACAUUGCUUUCGAGUACUCAUCUUCAACAUCUUAUGCUUCUAGAGAAGAUACCACAUCUGCCUGAGGAAUAGAUAGGGCAAGUGAGAAGGAUACAAGGAAGCAUGUGGAGACAAGAGUAACAGAACACGUGCCGAUACAUCCAUUACUUUGUCAAUAGCAAAAGUAUCUCAUAUCAUCAAUGUCGAACGUAUUCUAGAUUUGAUGGACUUAUUUUGACCCUCAAAUUCUUGAGUUGGUCUUAUACUCUGGAGGAAACCAGAAAACCCUCUAGCCUAGUUCAAGAAUAAGCCUGUGAAAAGUUACUUCUUCAAAAGAAAAGAUAUCUCAUAUCAUCUCUUCUUCAUUUGCUUCUCCUUAUCCUUGUUGCUGUUUACGACACAAGAAGGAGAAUAAUCAACUGGAAGCCGAAGUCGAACCUCCGAUCCAGGUUGCUUGCUAGUAGUCUGAUUGCUUACCUUGUCUGUAACCUUUCGUCAAAUCUCCUAGCUCGGUGACUUGGGGGACUCCUAUUACAUGGUUUGUAUCGCGCUUGACCAAGCCUGAAAUUACAAGAAAGCUUCAAGUCAAAUUGAUACAUUACCUUGUGCAUCUCCACUUCGGUACUUAGAAGUUUUGUGAUUACUCAACGGCUUGGAUCUUGCAAGUCCCCAACCGAGGAGCUUCCCUCACUCGGUAACUUAGAGGAGGACUGUUUGUACUAUAUUUGACCAAUCCCGAAACUACUGAGCACUGGUCAACGUUAUACCGUCAAGAAUCCAGAAGAGUUUCCCUCCAACCAGAAGGUCAAUCACAGCGCGACACGUGUCGACAUCAGAAGCCAAUCAUAGCGUGACACGUGUCAACAUCAGAAGUCAAUCACAACACGACACGUGUCAAUGUCAAAAUGAAACUAGAAACUCUCUUCUAUAAAUAGAGAUCAUUCUCUCACAAUAUUUCUUAAUGUCAGUUAUACUAAAUCAUUCACUAGUACUCACUAAAGAAGAGCUUGAACCUAUGUACUUGUGUAAACCUUUCACAUUUAAUGAGAACUCUUCUACUCCAUGGACGUAGCCAAUCUGGGUGAACCACCUAUAUCUUGUGUUUGCUUCCUUGUCCCUAUCCAUUUACUUACUUAUCCACACUAUAACCGGAGCAAUCUAGCGAAGGUCACAACCUUAACACCUUCUGUUGUACCAAAGUCCUCGCUGAUUUUGUGCAUCAACACAUAGUAUUAAAUAUCAGUAAUAUUAUAUAUUAGGGCUUAGGUCAGCCCCUGUAUGUUUUUAUUACUCGACUGCAUAGAUAUCUAAUACCAUGCAUGUAGUAUUAUAUAUUUGCAUGUGUACAUGCAUAGAAUAGAUAGCAGUAAUAUUCAUCCAGGGAUGGGUUACCAUGCAUAGUAUUCGUUAUCAAUAAUACUACGCAAAGCAUUAGAUAUCAAUAAUACUAUGUAUAGUAUAUUGAUAUCUAGUACUAUGCAUGUAUAUACAUCCAGCGGGAAGAGAAGACUUUUUUCAUCCUCCUGGAUAUUUUAUUGGAGAAAUACAACAAAACAGGUGGAAUUGGCGUAGGAUAGAGAAACCUUAAUGGAUAGUGUCAUUCACAUACCCAUUUUUACCUCCCACAUAUCCUUGUUAAUUUUUAGCCAUUGAUCUUCUUCAAUUUAUUUGAUCCGAUGACCGAAAAAUGAAAGGGGUGUGUGCAGUGGCGGAUCCAGGAAAUAAUGUUUGGGGGGUCAUUAAGGAUAGCGCGCGCAGCGCGAAAUUUUUUUUUAACAGAAACGGCAUGCAUAUCGUCAUUUCAUCAGGUCUUGGUAGGAUAGCGCGACCAGCUACUCCAAAAUCCUUGUUCAAAAUCCUACAUUCCAGCUCUACAUCUGCAAAGAACAAUGAAAAAAUAAAAUAAAAAGUAGAGCCUUUCGGUUCCACUAGCAAAGGCACAAAAAUAAGGCUCUGUGCAAAAUAAGGUCGAAAGGACACGCUUGGUAUUUUUGUUUUUGUUCAGACCUGCCCAGGACACGCUGGGCAUUCUUUUUUUGUUUUAACCUGGGCCAAAACGACGUCGUUUUGCCCAGGUUUUUUUUAAAAACAAACUGGCGCCACAGCGCCUUCGUCUUCUUCAUCCAACCUGCCCAGACCAACGAACUUUCGUCGAACAGUUGGUGUGCAGCGAACGGGGUCGCACCAGGGGUCGCACCACCAGUCCAAGGGGUCUCUAAGGUUGCUUCCAUGGCUUCCAAGGGGUCGCGCGACCCCAAUGACCCCACUGUGGAUCCGCCACUGGGUGUGUGAGAAGUGAAAAUGGGUUUGUGGAUAACACUACCCAACCUUAAUAUAUGACCUGUUAUUGAUAUGUAUGAUAUUACUGAAUAAUCUAAUUUCUACGAAAGAGGCUUGCUCUCCAAUGUUAAGUGCUUUUCUUUGCAGUCUUUAAAUGCCCAAUCUAGAGCACUGCUAAUGCAGAAGCUGGAUCGCACUGGUAUUGCCACAAGGUGUGCAACCAUUUUUCCUCACUGCUUUCUGGUAGUUAUGUCGUUUUCCUAUGUCUGAUUGUCUCUCUUUUGGUAGUAUUGUGGGUUCUCUUGGAGUUCAUGCGCUGAAUGGGGCAGCUCCUAAUCAACUAGCUGUUGCAUUGCCAAUCAAUGGUCAAGCUGCAGUCUCUGCUCCUAUUCUUCCACCAGCAGUUGCAGUCAAUGAACCUGUUGGUAACCCCAGCGAAUGUCUACUACUGAAGAAUAUGUUCGAUCCAGCCACUGAGGUGUGUGUUCUUUGCAAAAAUUGUUUUCACUCGCCUCCCCAAAUACUUUUUAGUCCUAAAAUUCAGUAUUAUGUUUGCAGAGGGAGCCAGAUUUUGAUAUAGACAUUAAAGAGGAUGUUGAAGAAGAAUGUUCGAAAUAUGGCCAUGUGAAGCAUAUUUAUGUGGACAAGUAAGUGCUUAAAUAUGAAUACUAAGUAUGCAAUUAUAAUAUGAAUGUCUUGUUUGUGUAAUAUUAUUGCAAGAUGUCGUUGAUAUUUAUGAAAUACUGGGUGGGCACUUUUUGUGUUAACCAGUCUCACCUUAUAGGGUGGAGGAAAUUGGAAAAUAGAACUCCCAAGGGGAGAUUAAACUAAGUCACCCCAACCCAAUUCAACAAGGGUUGGGUGUUCAGUUUCUUGGGUUGUGAUUGAUUAUAGAGGCAUCGAAAUCGAAAGGAACCCAUUGCAAAACCAUAUGAAAUAGAGAAAAAAAAACAGUAGAUUUCUCUAUUUGAAAAUAUGUAGUUUUUAGUAGAUGCCUCUAUUCUCAUUUCUCAAAACCCUUGUAACAUUAAGAACUAAUAUAAUUUUUGUUACAUUGAAUAUUGUUCAAGAAAAUAAAUAGGGGUCACACACCUUCUUAAUUUUUGGCCGUUGGAUCGAAUGAAUUGAAGAAGAUUAACAACAACAAAGCAUUUUCUCACUAAGUGGGGUUAGCUGUAUGAAUCCUAGAAAAUCAUUGCGCUCGGUUCUGUGCCACGUCAGAACAUAUCCAAGUACUUUUAAGUCUUUUCUUAGAGUUUCUUCCAAAAUUUUCCUAGGUCUUCCUUCACCCCUUUGGCCCUGAACUUCUGUACUGUAAUCGCAGUAGGCCUUCGUUUCACAUGUCCAAACCAUUGUAACCGAUUUUCUCUCACCUUUCCUUCAAUUUUGGCUACUCCUAUUUGACCUCGGAUAUCCUCAUCCCUAAUCUUAUCUUUUCUUGUGUGUCCACACAUUCAACGAAGCAUUCUCAUAUCUGUUACACUAAUUUUAUGUACGUGUUGAUGCUUCACUGUCCAACACUCUGAGCCAUAAAGCAUUGUUGGCCUUAUUGCCAUCCAUCUUCAAUGGCAUAUGACGGUCACACAACAUGUCGGAUGCACUCUUCCACUUCUUCCAUCCAGCUUGUAUUCUAUGGUUGAGGUCUCCAUCCAACUCUUCGUUCUUUUGCAAGAUAGAUCUUAGGUAGCGAAAUCGGUCGCUCUUUGGUACUUCAUGAUCUCCAAUCCUCACCCCUAACUCAUUUGAGCCUUCGUUUGCACUGAACUUGCACUUCGUAUACUCUAUCUUUGACCAACUUAGGCAAAGACCUUUAAAUUCCAACACUUCUCUCCAAUGGUUAAGCUUCACAUUUACUCCUUCCUAGUUUCAUCUAUCAAUACUAUAUCGUCUGCAAAAAGCAUACACCAAGGAAUAUCAUCUUGAAUGUCUCGUUAACUCAUCCAUUACCUAUGCAAAAAGGUAAGGACUUAAAGAUGAGCCUUGAUGUAACCCUACAGUUAUGGGGAAGCUUUGAGUUUGUCCUUCAUGUGUUCUUAUGGCAGUCCUUACUUCAUCAUACAUAUCCUUUAUAGCUUGGAUAUAUGCUACUUGUACUCCUUUCUUCUCUAAAAUCCUUCAAAGAAUGUCUUUUGGGACCUUAUCAUACACUUUUUCCAAAUCUAUAAAGACUAUGUACAAAAAGGGUGUGUGGAUAUCACACCCCAAUAAAUAAUGUCACGUUGAAUGAUGAAAUAUUUUUGUCAAAUCCUGGUUAAGAAACAAAGGGUUUUUUUUUUUUUUUUUUUUUUUAUAAUUUAAUUUUUUUAUAAAAUCCUCUGUAUUUUCAAUUUUAUUUUGUUUGAUAAUGUGAAAAGAUACUAAAGAGUACAAAAGCAGUUCUUUCCCACUUGUUUCUGCAUACGUGUGUUGCGUUUGAUAUUUGAGAAAGCAGGUGAAUUUCAAAACUGAAUUGGUCUUUUUUCUCCUAAUUUGCUUUGCUUGAUACAGAAACAGUGCUGGUUUCGUGUAUUUGUGGUUUGAAACUGUGGAAGCAGCAGCCGGAGCUCAACGUGCAAUGCAUUGGAGAUGGUUUGCAGGAAGGCUGAUUUCAGCCCUGUUCAUGGUAACAUGUCUUUAACUUUCUGUUGUCAAGUAUGUUUUUGCUAAUUCCUGUGUGGAUCUUAAAAAAAUAGAUGCAAGGGCUCGUUUGGUGCAUAGGAUUGGAUUGAAAUGGAUAACUCUCAAACGUUAAGGCAUGUUAUGGGGAGAAAUGAAGAAAUUAUGACCCACUAGGAUUGAGUUUUCUUCAUGUCUAAUCCUCUUCUAAUCCCCUAUAAAUGAAUAAUCUACCUUCAAUUUGCCUUGAAAUUGGAGAAUUAUCUAUUCCAAUCCAAUUCUACUCACCAAACGAAGGCCUUAGUUUUCUUGUUAUGAACUUACGAGUGCACAUAUAAUUUAUGAUGUCAAGUAUUAUUGUUGGACAUUUUUGGUAUAGCACGUGGAAACUUUUCUGACAAUAAGUUUGAGUCGACUUUGUUUCUUCAUCAAAACUGAGCAUGUAGUAGUGUAGAUGUUGUCUAGGACUCCAUGGUUGUGUUAACUGUAGAGUUGAUUUCUCGUUGCCGCACCCUUUUCUUUUGGUUCAUUUUCAUGAAUAAUCUUGUUGCUCAUCGUCUUUCGGUGUCUUGUGCAGCAACCUCAAGUUUACGAGGCCAAGUUUGGAGCUUAAACCGCUGCUCAGAUGCGGGAGUGGAAAAGUCUCUGCGGACAUGCAUUGAGUGUUUUUAGUUGAAGGAUGGUUACUUGUUUUUGUUUAGGAUACCGAACUUUCUAGUUUUGAUCAUACACAUGUAAUGAUUAUAUGGUAUGCACGACAUGUGGAAAAUGUGCCCUGUUUUUUUUAUACUAAGCUAGAUGUGUGAGAAAUAUAAUUUUAUUUUUAUUCUUCUCAAAUAUUGUUUUUAAAUUUUUUUUUUGGUAGGAGUUAUGCACAGGAAAAAAUAAGUACUGGCAGUAAUGGAGAGAGAAGGUGAAACAGCGAGUGAGUUCAAAGGGUAGUGAUAGGGUGACAUGGUUUAGAAAAAAAAAAACAGUAAAAAGUUGUUUGCUUGAAAUUACCUUAAUAUCCUCAUUUUUUUCCUCACAUUUUCUUUUAGUUAUGUAUUUAAAGGGUAUAAUUGUAAUUUCACUGAUUUCUAAUUGACAAAGUGAGUAUUAUUAAGGGCUUUUAUCACAAAUGGUCUCUGAAAUUGACCCUUACCAUUAAGAUGGUUCUUGAAAUUGAAAAUCAAUCAAUGUAGUCCCUGAAUAUAGGUGUUGCAAAUCAAUGUGGUCAUUUCGUUAUAAUUCUGUUAAAAUUUUUGUUAGGUGUUGGUAUGGCACAUAAACGGGUCUUAUAAGUCAUUUUUUUCCUCACAAAUGGUCUCUAAAAUUGAUUCGCGACAUCAAAAUGAUUCUUGAAAUUGACUUGUGACAUCAAAAUGGUCCCUGAAAUUGAAAAUUGAGUGCUCAAAAUCAAUGUACUCAUUCCGUCAUAAUUCUGUAAAAAUUUCUAUUAUGUGCACACAAAAAUGGGUCACACAAGUCUAAUUAAAUAAAAAAAUUACAAAUAGGUUUAAUAACUUAAUAAUUAAUAAAACGAUGUUAAUCCAAAAACCUAGUCCUGCAAUCACCUCCGAUCCCAAUCCACAUUCCUCUAUCUCAUUCGUUGUCUAUUCUCUACAAAAAAAAAAAAAUCUCAAUACAUCCCAUCUUUACACACUUCGACACCCUUCAUUGAAUUGAACUUGGAUCGAGAUCACCUUUGGUGACGACUUGGCCAAUUGACAACGACUUCUAGGACAUCACCGUUAAUAUUUAGGCAAACAACAUCCUCACAACCUUAAUCUUGGAGAGCUUGUUCGGCAGGGGCUUCCCUAAUGGUCUGAUGACUCAAAGAACGACGAGGUUUGCCUUGAGAUAAUGAGGUUAUAAUUGAGGUAUGUCUAUUGUUGGUUGAAAACUAUUUCCAAACCCACCUCUUAGGCCUUGGUUAAGCCUUGUGCCUUUGAGAAUUUAUGGAAUGGAUCUCUCUUCGAAGUAGGCCAUCCUAUAAGAAAAAAAGUUCCAUUGCGCAAAAACGUAUUUAGACAACUUUUUUUAUUAAUUAUGAAACUCACAUCAUCACAUAACAAUUAUUUUUUUUUACAGAAUUGUGGUGGAAGGAUCAUAAUGAUUUGCGACACCUAUUUUUGAGGAUUACAUUCAUCGAUUUUCAAUUUUAGGGAUCAUCUUGAUGUGUGGGUCAAUUUCAGAGAUUAUUUCUGUUAAUGAGAACUCUUCUACUCCGUGGACGUAGCCAAUCUGGGUGAACCACGUACAUCUUGUGUUUGCUUCCCUGUCCCUAUCCAUUCAUAUACUUAUCCACACUAGUGACCGGAGCAAUCUAGCGAAGGUCACAAACUUAACAUUUUCUGUUGUACCAAAGUCCUCACUGAUUGUGUGCAUCAACAUUUGGCGCCGUCUGUGGGAACGACACUUAUUCCCACUCUCUUCAGCUUUGUCAAGCUGGUUUCCACCGUUCAUACACUCUCUUUUGACCAGGCAUCCCUCUCCAACAUGGGGAGCGAAGGAAGCCACAGCACACAGAAUGACACCCCUCUUGCAUGUAGUGCGAAGCAACGAAAGAAGGAAGGAAAUAGGGUUGCUCUUCAAGCUAAAGUCGAUGAACUAGAAGCUCAAAACAACAAGAUAGCAAUGAAACUAUGAGAAGCUCUUUGAGACACUCCAUGAAACUAUGCGUACUCAAACAGGCGAGCUUGUUGCCCCUGUGGACAUCAACCAUUAUCUGGGUGCCCCCCAACACGGAGGGUCACCUUCUUUCGACAUGGGUAUCCUUGAUGAGGAGCGAGCUAAUCAUCAAAACAUUGAUUAACAUGAGACUUUUCUCAACCCAGCUGCUUCGACGCGAAGCAGGAGAAGUGGAGGAAGACACCUCAUUGCAAAAGGGUUGGAAGGAUCGAAAGCCGUUUAUCGUGACUACCGAGACUUCCUAAAGCAACGUCGAGAGAAUCCCCUCCACAUAUGCUCGAAGAUCAAUGACCCAAGGGUUUCUGAAAAACUCGGUCCCCUCCCACGACCCAGGUCAGCUGCCAAUCUAAGAAAGGAACGACAUGUCCUAGAGGAACAUGAAGGUACAGGGGACUUUGAGGUAUUCCAACAGACUCGCCCUAGAAGUCAAUACGGCGAAUCCAAGGAAAAAUCACACACCCUUGGUCAAACUAUCCUACUUCCAAGAGGCGAUGAAGACUUACGAAAGAAAAUCCCAGUGGUACAUGACUCCACUCAAGUGUUGGAAAUGUGCCCUAAAACCAAUCAUAUGAUGAUACUUUGCGGACAUUUCACAUGUUAAACUAAUCUAGUUUAAUAUCAAGGGCAAAGAUUAUUGUUUAAGCCGUCUCAUAUAAAUGUUAUAUGCUUAAACGAUAAGUCCAAGGAAUAUGUAAUUAGAAGAAGGAACUCACCAUUCAUUCCACCUACCAGAAGACAAGUGGUACAACUUGUACAUGUGAACUCCUAGCAUUCACAAAUAAUCAAAAACCCUCAAGCUUGACAACUCAACUAGGGGAGCACUUAUACCCAACAAGAGUUAUAGUCACCAAUAAAGUCUUAUUGCAAGCCAACAACAACUUCAGUGCAUGGCUUACGAAGAUCAAGCUAUUCAGCUCUCUUGCAUCUGCUUCAAACAUUUCCCCUCUGUAACAAUGCAAACACUACAACUCGUAGAAAGCUUCACACACUCUUGAUCAAGACAGUGUGAAGCAAAACCAAUUUAUGGUGCCAACAAGAGCUUCAUCAAUGGAGGGCAACCACAAUUCUUAAAAGCUUCACACACUCUUGAUCAAGAUAGUGUGAAGCAAAACCAAUUUAUGGUGCCAACAUGAGCUUCAUCAAAGGAGUUCAACCACAAUUCUCAAAAGCUUCACACACUCUUGAUUAAGACAGUGUGAAGCAAAACCAAUUUAUGGUGCCAACAAGAGCUUCAUCAAUAGAGCGCAACCACAAUUCUCAAAAGCUUCACACACUCUUGAUCAAGACAGUGUGAAGCAAAACCAAUUUAUGGUGCCAACAAGAACUUCACCAAUGGAGGGCAACCAUAAUUCUCAAAAGCUUCACACACUUUUGAUCAAGAUAGUGUGAAGCAAAACCAAUUUAUGGUGCCAACAAGAGCUUCAUCAAAGGAGUUCAACCACAAUUCUUGAUGCGUAAAAUAACUAAACACACAAAUUAACCCUCUUGUUGACAAUUGUAGUAUGGAUAAGUAGGGAUCGUUCUUAAACCGGGGAUUAGGAGGGAUUGCUAAAACACUCUAAACUGACUCAAAUAUGUAAAACAAGGUUUAAAACACUCAACUAGACUCAAAGAAUGCAAAACUAAACUCUAAAACACUAAAACAAAUCAAAAGACUCAAAACAGCACCAAAAACACUCAAAACUGCCUUAAAACACUUUUUGGGCAGUUUUGGGACUCUAAUGCAAACUUGGACGAAUUUUGGUUUUCUAAUGACCUAAAACACUUAAAAACAUAAUCUAAGACAAGUUCUAACUAAAAUAUGACUCAAAGAAAUAAAGUGGGGUUGAUUUUGGACGAAUUUAAAUUAAAUGGCAGAUUGUAAAGAAAACAGAUUGUAGACAAAAUUGUGAUGAAUUAAUGAAUGAUGGAAGAGCUAAGGGGUUCUUCUCCACACAUGAAAUAUAUGCAACGUAAAUCAAUUUCCAGUUAUCAAUUCAAUAAGUUAUGAACCUCGACACUCCAAGUUAAUUAGGUCCGCUUAAAUUAACCUUCAGAUUUCCCUAGAAUCAUUGAAUUGGAUGAAUAUAUUCCUAACAAGUUCUCUAUAUGAACAGCAUGAUAAAGACACAAGUUAGAAUCAUUACGUUCCUUGGAAAUCAUAAGCAUCGACAUGGCAAUUGUAACUAUGAAAAGCAUGAUACUCUUGCCAGGAAUCUACUUAACACGAUCGUGACUAGCGACCUUCACUACUUGUGAAUAUAAAUUCAUAACGAUUAGGUGAAACAAACUUAUAUCCUAGCACCAAAUUCAAGCAUGCAAAUUAAGCGUGCACUCUCAAUCAACAUACAAGAAUAAGUUCUAAAUCAAACGGUUAAGCAAAUUGUAUUCACGACUUAUGCAACGAUAACUGGAAGUAAUUAACUUAUUUCACAUAUAUAAUCAUGGUUUUGAAUCCCCCCCUAGCCAAGGGUGUUGGAAAUGUGCCCUAAAACCAAUCAUAUGAUGAUACUUUACGGACAUUUCACAUGUUAAACUAAUCUAGUUUAAUAUCAAGGGCAAAGAUUAUUGUUUGAGCCGUCUCAUAUAAAUGUUAUAUGCUUAAACGAUAAGUCCAAAGAAUAUGUGAUUGGGAGAAUGCGAUCUAAAGAAGUUAGAUUCAUGAGACCAUUCUUUCGUAGACACAUCCUAAACGUUCCUGAUCAUAGGAUUGCCAAUUGGGCAUUGACAGUCCGUUAAGAUCAGUACGUGCUGUGUCUUCUCUCAGGGAGAGUGACUAGUCUCGAGUCAUUGGUGUGUGUGACAUCAAGACAAGUACGUAGGUGCUCAAUAGAGAAUGAGUUCACUAAACACGAUCAACGAAGAGUUCUCAUAUUCAUGUCACAUGAGAACUCAUGGUUGGGAUAAUGCAAAGUAGUCAUUUGACCUGAGGCAUCACGUUUGUCUUGUGGUUAAGUACUUGAUCUUUGAUUAUGUCAAAGUCACUCCAUCAGGAGGGUGUCCACGGCAUCGUUGGGGUUAAGCCACUUAGCUAUGGAGGCAAGUGAAUGCGCAACAAGGGAUCUCUAACCUUCAAACCGUUUGGGGGAGAAUACUCUAUGAUAUGAUUAAGAAUCUCUGGCCAGAGUAUGAAUGAGAUUUAGAAAAGUCGUUCUAAAUCACAUUCAAGGUAAUCAUAUAAGCACACGAAUCACAUUGGAUAGUAGACAUGAAUAAACUAUCAAACCAAACAAUGUGGUCAAGAGUAUUAUAUUAGAGAAAUACCGUAUUGCAUUUGUAAUCCUAAACUGAAUAGGUUCUCUACCUCUUCUGAUUAGCUUGGGUAACCAUGAUAUGCUGCUAGGUGUCACUCUUGGUUUGUGGAAGCCCUAAACGUGUAUAAACACUAAAGGGAGAAUUGAAAGUAAGUUUCAAUUCACAAUCGAUUUUAAAGAGUUUUAAUCGCCCACUGCCUCGCUAAAAGGAACCUAAUGGAUCGUACACCGUGUAAGGUGGAGAUUGAAGAAACAAUGGAGAUGAGUAAGAAUAAUUAAAUGGUUUAAUUAUUUAUGGCAAGGAUUAAUUAAUAUGUUAAUUAAUUAAACGAAUAAGUUCGUUAAAGACCUCGGGAUAGUUUUGGACCUUAAGGCCCAAUGGGCUUCGAACGUCAAGCCCAUUGACUUAAGUUGUAUGACAACUUAAUUCACAAAGGCCCAAAAAGCCCAAACAAAACCCUAUGGCCGGCCAUUUAGAGGAGGGUAGUGAACUUGCUUUAAUUACAAGUUUGCCACUCCAAUGAAUAAAGGUAUAAAUAUGACUUUAUAGCCAAAAUUCAUUUAGGGUUUUCUUUUAGGAAAUUGGAGAGAACACAAUGCUCUCAUUUCUCUCUAAAGAGGCCGGCCCCCUUGGAGGGUGUAUCUAGCAAUCCCACUACUCCAAGGUCACUAAUUUCUUCAUCAAUCUGACCUUGGUGUGGAUACUUAGAGGUUCUCAAUUUUUGGAACUUGGAGAACCAUAUUCUUCCAUCCAAAUCCAUGGAUCUAAGAAGCAAGGAAUGAAGGCCCUCUCUUGGGUGAUUAGCCUUUGCUUAUGCAAAGAGGAAUCUACAAAGGUAUAUAUUUCUCAACUCACUUUGAUUUGAGUUGAGUCUUGGUUCACCAAUCUACUAGGCUUUGAAUUUCAUGGGUAAUGUUUUGUUUUUGAAUGCAUGCAAGCAUGAUUCCGCCUUUUAAUUGUUAAUUCCAUGCUAUAGAUGUUAUUCAAAUGAACAUGUUUUAACAAAAUUAUCCUUCAAAGGGGGGUUUAGUUCCUCAUACUCAUAGCAAAACGAAAGGGAAAGAAAUUACACAUUGAAAUCAUGAAACGAAUUACACCUAGAAUGCACCAACAAUGCAGCUUGGACAUCCGAGGAUCCUUCCUUCUUCCUCCUUGCUGCAACGCACAAGUGGGUGAGUUUUUGGGGAUUAUGGAUGGUGUAGAAGUAUGGAUUUAGGGUUAGGAUGAGUGUAUGGGGCGGCUAGGGAUGUUUUUAGGCAGAAACUAGGGUGAAUGGUGGUAGAAUGGUGCGGCUUAAGAUGGAGUUUUGUUUCUGGCGUGAAUGGUUACUUUUUGGAUGAAUGGGGAAUGUUUGUGGCUGCACAAGGAUGUUUAUUUAAAGGGAUUAGGAAAUUAAAAACCCUAGACUAUUUUGGUAAACAGAAAUUAAGUCAAAAGCUUCUAGAAAUAGGAAAUCAAAUCAGAAACUUAAGGGAAAGUCAAGGGAUAUGCGGCAACACCUUGAAACACAUUAGGAAUGUGUUUUAAUGCAUAAAAUCAGGAAAGAACCCUCUCCCUUGCACGGCAAGGAAGAGGAAAGGGCAAGGAACCUUCACAAGGUGCGGCAAAGACUUUAGGAAAGGCCUAAGUGUCCUAAAACUAAUGGAAGAGGGGAUCCCUUGCAAGGCAAGGAAAGGGAAAAUUGGGAAAGGUGCGGCAAGGACUUUCAAUGUGCAAGAGAGGUGUAUUUGAUGUCCUAGAAUGCUUAGGAUGUCUUCAAAGUUGAUAAAACUUAGGAACAUUUAGGAAAGGUCAAACCAAAGUAAGAAACCUUGGCUUAACUUUCCUACUUCAAGUAGGAAUCCUUCUUGGAGUAGGAAUCCUUCUUGGAGUAGGAAUCCUCAUGUGAUUAGGAAUCCAUCUUCAAUUAGGAAUCCUUCGUUGAUUAGGAAUCCUAAUUUCAUCAAGUCUUCAAUUCAUCCAUUCCUUUUGCUCCAAGCAUGUGAUAAUCAUUCCAAGCUCCAUUUUGCUCCAAAAGGCUCCAAAAUGCAUACUUUGCCUUUAGAAUCUGAAAACACACAAAAGUAACUUUAAACACUAAAAUAGCUAACGAAACAUAACAUGCUCCUAUCAAUUCUCAAAAGCUUCACACACUCUUGAUCAAGACAGUGUGAAGCAAAACCAAUUUAUGGUGCCAACAAGAGCUUCAUCAAUGGAGGGCAACCACAAUUCUCAAAAGCUUCACACACUCUUGAUCAAGACAGUGUGAAGCAAAACCAAUUUAUGGUGCCAACAAAAGCUUCAUCAAAGGAGGGCAACUACAAUUCUCAGACCUUCGAAGCAAAUUCAAUUUAUAUGGUUCAUCCAAACCUUCGACUACUACAGGCUUGCAUCACAAUCUCUUGCUUAACAGUGUGGAAGCAAAAUUUGUAUAUGUUGUCUCUCCCACAUUUUCAAAUUUCUAGUUUCCCAAAAAAAAAAAAAAAAAAGAAGGGAAAUUCAACAAAGCUUCAUCAAUGGAGGACAACUACAAAUUCUCAAAAGCUUCACACUAUCUUGAUCAAGAUAGUGUGAAGCAAAAUCAAUUCAUGGUACCCAACAAAAGCUUCAACUCCAAAGCUUCAUCAGUGGAGGACAACAACAAAUUCUCAAAAGCUUCACAAUAUCUUGAUUAAGAUAGUGUGAAGCAAAAUCAAUUCAUGGUACCUAACAAAAGCUUCAACUUCAAAGCUUCACCUACAAAAGCUUCAACACAAAAGCUUCACCCACAAAAGCUUCAACACAAAAGCUUGACCUACAAAAGCUUGACCCACAAAAGCUUGACCCACAAAAGCUUCACCUACAAAAGCUUGACCUACAAAAGCUUGACCCACAAAAGCUUGACCCACAAAAGCUUCAACACAAAAGCUUCACCUACAAAAGCUUCACACUAUCUUGAUCAAGAUAGUGUGAAGCAAAAUCAAUUCAUGGUGCCUAACAAAGCUUCAACCUCAAAGCUUCACCUACAAAGCUUCAACACCACAG